AUUGAACGCUGGCGGCAGGCCUAACACAUGCAAGUCGAGCGGAGCGGCGGACGGGUGCGUAAUGCCUAUGAAUCUGCCUGGUAGUGGGGGAUAACGUCCGGAAAUGGGCGCUAAUACCGCCUACUUUCAGUUGCGACUAGGUGGGAUUAGCUAGUUGGUGGGGUAAAGGCCUACCAAGGCGACGAUCCGUAGCUGGUCUGAGAGGAUGAUCAGUCACACUGGAACUGAGACACGGUCCAGACUCCUACGGGAGGCAGCAGUGGGGAAUAUUGGACAAUGGGCGAAAGCCUGAUCCAGCCAUGCCGCGUGUGUGAAGAAGGUCUUCGGGUUGUAAAGCACUUUAAGUUGGGAGGCGUUACCAACAGAAGAAGCACCGGCUAACUCCGUGCCAGCAGCCGCGGUAAUUC
rnacentral:rRNA from 1 species